UGGGGAAUAUUGCACAAUGGGGGAAACCCUGAUGCAGCAACGCCGCGUGAAGGAUGAAGGUUUUCGGAUCGUAAACUUCUUUGAUGAGGGACGAAAAAAAUGACGGUACCUCAAAAACAAGCCACGGCUAACUACGUGCCAGCAGCCGCGGUAAUACGUAGGUGGCGAGCGUUGUCCGGAAUUACUGGGUGUAAAGGGCGUGUAGGCGGGAAGGUAAGUCAGAUGUGAAAUUCCAUGGCUCAACUGUGGCACUGCAUCUGAAACUAUCUUUCUUGAGUGAUGGAGAGGAAAGCGGAAUUCCUAGUGUAGCGGUGAAAUGCGUAGAUAUUAGGAGGAACACCAGUGGCGAAGGCGGCUUUCUGGACAUUAACUGACGCUGAGGCGCGAAAGCGUGGGGAGCAAACAGG
rnacentral:rRNA from 1 species